CCGCACUGGAAGGCGAAGUCUUAACCACUGGACGGCCAGGGAGGUUCCCCAGGUUUUCUUUCUGGUGGUGGUGGAGGGUUGGGGAGGGAGGUGGGUGACUGGUCCCACCUGGCCCUCCCAGCAGGCCCAGCUGACCGGUGCCCGACUCCUCAGCUACUCCUGACCACCGGCCUCUGAGUUUCCAUGGCAACCGUUCCAGAAGUUUAAAAGGAAGGAAAAGGCCAGGGUGCAAGCACAGACCCACUCCUGGCUCCAGGCAGAUUCUCAACCACUGCGCCACCAAGGAUGCCCUGGUUAGCAUGUCUUGACAGCUGGGACGUGAGCUCCUCCUGGCCAGGCCACCCUGGACGCUGGGAACAUAGUGGGGACAUCCAGGGAGGCCACUGCCUGUUACGAUGUAUAGACAGGCCAGAGGAAGAACUUGGGGCAGAAGUCCCUGUGGGCACGUCCUGAGGCCACACCGGAGCGGGGCCCGGCGGCUGGAGUUCAGCACCACGGUCAGCACCCUCCACCUAAGUGUGAGUCAGGACCGGAGUCUGAGUGAGCAUGAAGAAGCAGAAGCAAGAGAGGUUAAGAGACCUUGGCACAGCCCAGAGAAAGCACCGCUCAGGGAAACCGCCGAGUGACUGCGGGAGCCUGGACCCAGCCAUGCUGGAGACAAUGCAGCUUCUGCGAGAUGAGGAGAUUCUCUUCUUGUUUCAGUUGCCAGGGUCAGUGUAGUGGACAUCAGUAGGCUGUUUGGCUCUCCAGCACCUUCUGAAUUCCCUUCUUUAUUUUCCAGAACCGUGCUUUCUCGCCCUCCUCUACUGCCACGACCUGGUCAGGUGAUCUAGAACCUGCCAGUGGGACACACCUUCAUGAGUUGGAUUCAGAAGAGAGGCAGAGAGACCUUGUGCUUUGGCGCCUGCAGUGGCAGAAGGUGGGCGGCGGCACCGUGUCCAGCGACGGAGAUGGGAGCUGAGGCCUCCGCGCCCCGUGGCAGUGGAAGGUGGGGGUACCCCCGGCGGAGCCCCCCGACCGGAUGCACCCGGCUCUCGGAGUUUGUGGCCACUCAUGUGCUUUGGCAGCUACUGUCUUAAUCAGGGGAGAAGCCUGGGGCCCGGGGCCCGGGUGGUGACUCUGGAGCCUUGUCCCCUCCUUGCGGUGCUGCUGUGAGAACAGAUGAGGAAACUGGACUUGGAAUGAAUGUUUUGGUGCCUCCACCGUGAACCCCUCACCCACUGAAGGCAGAGCCGGGACCCUGUCUGCUCCGCCGCCCAGUCGGUGCCCCUGUGAUGGGGGUCAGCUCCUUCCAUCAGGUGGCAGCAGAGAGAGAAGCAACCCGAAUGCCCGGGAACUGUCUCCGAGGGGACGUGCACUCACCGUGCUGGCAGUGAACUCUGGCGGGUUGUCGUUCACGUCUGUCACCGUGAUGAUGGCUGUGGCCGUGUUGGACAGGCCAUAGUUCAGGCACACGGACACCAGCGUACUCUGUGUCUGAACACAGUCUGGGAGGAGUGGUUAGCGUCAGAUGCAGCUGUGAAUUUUAAAAGGCAAAAUGAUGCUUGAUGGGGACGGCGAAUUUCACUGGGCACUGAAGGGGCCGCCCAGCCCUUCUCCACCUGGACCCACUGGUGCAGCAACCCCAGGUCAGCAGAGGGGGCCUUUCCACACCCCUGUUCUGAGCAGAGGGCCGCAGGUGUUUCCAACUGUGACAGGUGGGGACGCUGAGCCUCACGAUGUCCCCAGUGGCACACAGCAAACCAGAGGCUGCUGGAGUGGCCACUGGGAUUCCUGAUGCGGGUUGGCGCCUCUGUGACGGAUGAAUGCGGACGGCUCCGUGUUGCCAAGGCAGCGACGUCAGCCAAGAUGCCAGCAGGCCUCUUUCUGAAUGUGGCACACGAGGUACCCAAGGGCACGGCAGCACCAUCCUUAACCCGCUUCCCCCCGACAGUUGCACGGUCAGGAUCCACCUCCACGUGUGUGGACAGGUGCAUAUGCUCAGACAUCCAUCAGGCCCUUGACAUCAGGACCUCGCUCAGGGCAGGGGUCCCUCCUUCGCGACUGCUAUGCCUCCGGACCCCAGCAGGGAAUAAGUGCCCCUCCCUCUUUCCCAUCAAAGGCGGCUGGUCAUCUCUGGUCACUGCUGCCUCAGCAGGGACAUGGCAGCGACAGGCUGGGGACAGUACCAGUGCCAGGGUGGGUAGACCGACAAACUGAACCCAAACCUCAGGUCCCCACGUGCCCUCGGCGAGGGUCCUGCCCAGAGCAUCCCGGAUCCAGCUAGGCCUGAAGGCACCCUUUGUGUUCAAUUACACGAGCCAGUUAUCCCUCUUUUUUGUUUGAUCCGGUUGGAGCUGGUUUCUGUCCUCUGCCACAGAAGGGGGUCUGACUGCCCCACCUGUUACUGUCUUUCUUUUUGUGAGGGACAUCAUCACGGGAAGCACAGUGGGACGACCGGGCACCUAAUGCAGGAGAGAACAGGACUCUGCUGACGUUUUCCCAGCACCCCUGGUCCCGACCCUCUGGGGCACCGAUGGGGCCUGAGGGCAGACUCGGGGCCCGACUGUCGUGGCCUCAGUCGGGGUGUUGUGGUGAGGGCUCCGCCAUCGAGCCUCGCCAGAGUCGCCCCCACAGUGUAGACAGACACCAUGCCCUCCGUCCGGUUCUGUCUUAGAUUAUUCCUUACAGCUAAGGCUUUCUUGUACUUCAAUAAACACAUUUAGAAGCGUUUAUGCCGCUGCUAUAAAUGGCAAACGAGCAUCACCUUCCACAAAUAGAAAUUAGUCCUAAACACGACUGUGUAUUUUUAAAGGUUCAUCUGUGAAUGUCCAGGCCCAGUGCACGAAGCACACGGGGGGACCCAGGCCGAUGGAGCCACGCGACGCCCCCCUCAGUGGCUGCCCGUCACCUCUCGCCACGUGGAGAGACACGCGGGCUGAGAGGGGCCCGCCCCACCCCCGGCUGGUAGGCUAACACGGAGCGGGUCCCAGGGCUCCUCUGCUAGGACCUGCCCUGGCUCUGCUCCCUGGGCAGAAGCAGAGGCCUACAGGCCACCGGUCCCGGGGCAGGUGGGGCCCGCUGGCCGCAUGCUUUCUCCUCCACCGCCACCCAUGGGGCCUCCCUGCUGCCCCCCAAAGCCACGGUGCCCUCCGGGCCGGUGCAGGGCUGUUCCGCCUGCCCUAGCACUCUGCUCGCCCCCAUCAGCAAGGCCUUCCCUGCCUCCCUGAAUAAAAUACAAUCUCUGCCCCACGGCCGCUCCCCCUGCCGGCUGCCCGCUCUCCCGAGACUCUGCUUCACUUCUCAGCGUCAGCGUGGCCGCCCUCCGCCGGCUCCUGCCCCACGAGGAGGGCUCCAGAGCCCAGGACUUCACACUCAGUGCCGUCUCCCCGGCGUCUACAACACGCCUGCACGCUGUCCGUGGGUGGCGGGGACGAUGCCGCCCUCCCUGGGCGCUGGCGGUGACUGUCUGUGGGCACAGCUCAGCGAGGCCGGGGCCACAGCUUGGAUCGGUCUGCCCCAGGGCAGCCGGGCACAGGACAGGGGUGGGCAUCAGGGAUGCCCCUCGGGCUGACCCAUACCACAGGUCUGGCAGCAGAGAUGUUUCCAGAGCUCAGCAGGCGGAAUGGGCGAGUGGGCUCCUAGGGGUCAGUGUUGAAGGGAGACCGCCUCAGGGCUGGCUGCCCUUGCAGGGCUGAGGCACCCAGAGUCCCACCGCGGGGCACGCACAGGCUCUGCCAGCCCCGACGUGGAAGGCUCCAGCCAGCCUGGGGGAUCUGGAGGUGGGAGCUGGGGAUGCAGAGCAGGAGGGAGCCGGCUGGAUCUCCCACCUGACCACAAAUUCACUUUUGCCACCCAGGCCCUGCUUUGCGCGGGCUGUCACGGGGAAGAAAACACACAUGAUCAUAGCGCAGGAGCCCGCUGUCCGGCGCGGGCAGCUUCACCCUAAACGGGUCAUGCAUGGGCCACGGCGGGCGGGCCUGAGACGGACGGCGCUUGGCUGCUGGGGCCUCGGCUGCCCACCUCUGUUCCCACCCUGGUCUCGUCGGCCAGCAGGGAUCACAGAGGUUAUUCUUUGGGGGCAAUAAAGACAAACCCAAAUAUAAGUCCCAUCAGGAGCCUCAGAACAUGGAAAUAGGGCCUCUGUACAUAAAGUGAAGGUAAGGCUCGAGACGGGACCACCUGGGCUAGGGCGGCCCCAAUCCAGUGACAGGUGUCCUGGGGAGAGGAGAUGAGGGCACAGGACACAGGGAGGAGGUGGCCACUCGAGAUGGGGGCAGAGACUGGAGUGGCCACAAGCGAAGGAUGCUGGCAGAAGCACAGGAGGUGUUCCACGACCCUCCAGAAGGAACCAGCACGGCCUGCGUUUGGGAUCUCUGGCCUCCAGAGCUGGGAGAGCAUGCGAUUCUGUUGUCUGAUGGCGCCCAGUCUGUGGUCACCCAGGAACCGCAUAAUGGCCUCGGGCUCACCCUUCCCAGGCCGCUGGAGGCAUCUGAGAUACCACCUUCCCCAUGCUGGCCUUGCUCCAAGCAGAUGGUGAGAUUCCACUUGGAGAGGCUUCCCCUGAGACCCCGUGGCCUCACCGUCUGGGCUCUGUCCAUCUCACCGCCCGGCGGGAAGGAGGCAGGCCCAGGGCUGGAAGGCUGGGAGGAGGGUCGUCACCCCAACCUCGCCUCUGGGACCAGCCGACACUGCAACGGGGCUGAGCAGGAAACAGGAGGAUUCAUGCCCACAGCAAAGGGAGGGGCUUAACCAGAGAAGAGGAAGAAAAGUGUCGCCGUUGUCACGUGACUGACUGCAGCCAGAAGUCACUCGGUCUUUCUCGUCUCCUUAAUCAUAGAAUCACAGCCUCUACACGGGGCCGUCAUGGGCUGCUGCCCUCAGAAGACAAUGGAGAGAAACAUGGGGACACAUGCAGGUGUGUGUUAUGCAUGUAUGCAUGCACGUGCAUGUUUGUGUACUAGUGCACACA